UAGCAAGUUACUUAUUACCUUGAUACUGAACACGUCAGGUUUGGUAGAACCUCUCAACUGAAUAUAAGAGUGGUUUGUGCUGCUUCGUCGGCCGCAGGAACCGCAGGAAGUUCAAGUUCCGAAGGCAACUUCAACCCGUAUGAGGUGCUUGGUGUGAGCCCCAUUGCAGGAUUUGAGGUGGUCAAUGAGGCAUAUGCAAGAAAACGCAAGGAUGCACAGGAGAGAAGGGAUGAAGCAACUGCUGCCCAAUUAGAAGAGGCGCAUGACAAAUUGUUGAUGGCAGAAUUGGAAAACUGAAAGAAGGGUGUGACAUCUGGUUCCUUUGAGGUUUCUAAGUAUAUCAAGUAUGCCGAUAAGCAGCCAAUAGUACCAUGGUGGCCAAGAUCUGUCUUUGCAUUUCAUCAUAGCAUUAUAAAGUAGUGCCGUUACGAACUCUUCUUUGCAGUCCGAUUGUAUACUUUACCAAUUUAUUACUGUGCGUUGUAUAUUAGUAUUGAAGAUGCU